AUAAAAUUAAAAUCAAAUUCAACUAAAGCUUCAUAUGUUCAUUAUCUUUGAACUUUCAAAUUAAACCAUUACUGUUGUUCAAGAGAAAAAUUGACAAUGGGAAGCAUCUCAAUUCUUGUGAAGCAUUCUGAAGGGUGGACAUAUGAAAAAAGCUAUGAAGAGUACAUUACGGAUGCAAUAUUGUUGAGCACGACAUCAUCGUACAAUCAACUAUACAAUCUUUUGGUAUCUCACAUUAAUGUGGAUUUGAGCAGCAAAUGUAUCCAAAUUGAAUAUCGAAUCACUAGUAAUGCAGAGCAAAUAUAAAUACAUAAUGAUAUGGGUUUAAAUGUGUUUAUUGUGCAAAAGAAAGAGAUACAAGACAUGAAUUGUCUUCCUUUAUAUGUAAGCAUAUUGGACAAAGAUGUUGUGAGCACCUUUGCAAGUUCAUCUGUAUGUGCUGUUGAAAAAGAAAAUGUUUGUUACAAUUCACAUCAAGUGAUAAACACAUCUACUGAAAGUGCAUUGGUGGUUACUGAUAAUACAAAACCAUUAGAUGUAUUUGAGAUGGAUACAGUUCAGGUGAUUAUCUCAGACCCGCAUCAUAAGUAUGUUGAGGUAGACCAGGUAUACUUCUCGAAAAAAAAUUAAAGUUAGCCAUGAAGGAUUAUACAAUUAGAGAGAAGUUUCAAACACAAAGUGAAAGGUCAAGUAACACCUGGUCCAGACGCACGGGCUCCCAAGCACCCUUAGUAAAUUCAGAUUCUCAACAGACAGAGU